UACGUAGGGUGCAAGCGUUGUCCGGAAUUAUUGGGCGUAAAGAGCUCGUAGGCGGUCUGUCGCGUCUGCUGUGAAAACUCAGGGCUUAACCCUGAGCUUGCAGUGGGUACGGGCAGACUAGAGUGCGGUAGGGGAGACUGGAAUUCCUGGUGUAGCGGUGAAAUGCGCAGAUAUCAGGAGGAACACCGGUGGCGAAGGCGGGUCUCUGGGCCGUAACUGACGCUGGAGGAGCGGAAAGC
rnacentral:rRNA from 1 species